rnacentral:rRNA from 1 species
GACGAACGCUGGCGGCGUGCUUAACACAUGCAAGUCGAGCGGUAAGGCCCCUCCGGGGGCACACGAGCGGCGAACGGGUGAGUAACACGUGAGCAACCUGCCCCUGACUCCGGGAUAAGCGGCGGAAACGCCGUCUAAUACCGGAUACGACCCUCCGGCUCAUGCCGUGGGGGUGGAAAGUUUUUUCGGUUGGGGAUGGGCUCGCGGCCUUUCAGCUUGUUGGUGGGGUAAAGGCCUACCAAGGCGAUUACGGGUAGCCGGCCUGAGAGGGCGACCGGCCACACUGGGACUGAGACACGGCCCAGACUCCUGCGGGAGGCAGCAGUGGGGAAUCUUGCGCAAUGGGCGAAAGCCUGACGCAGCGACGCCGCGUGGGGGAUGACGGCCUUCGGGUUGUAAACUCCUUUUACCACUCACGCAGGCUCCCAGUUUUCUGGGGGUUGACGGUAGAUGGGGAAUAAGGACCGGCUAACUACGUGCCAGCAGCCGCCGUAACAC